ensembl:lncRNA
CAUCAGUUUAUUCACAGGCAUUCCCCAGACAGCAUCAGUUUAUUAACAGGCAUUCCCCAGACAGCAUCAGUUUAUUAACAGGCAUUCCCCAGACAGCAUCAGUUUAUUCACAGGCAUUCCCCAGACAGCAUCAGUUUAUUAACAGGCAUUCCCCAGACAGCAUCAGUUUAUUCACAGGCAUUCCCCAGACAGCAUCAUUGCGGCAAAACAAUAAAUAUACAAGACUACCAAACCACGCCCCUAUAAUACUCACAAUGCCUAUGUUUCGUGACAGCAGCCUACGGAAAGCCCUUAAGACAAACUGUGCUGUAUCAGCAUACUAGAUGACACCUUAUUCCCUAUGUAGUGCACUAUGUGUGACCAGGGCCUCAUAAGAAGACCCAUAGGGCUCUGGUCAAUAGUAGUGCACUACCCCAUAAGGCUCUGGUCGAUAGUAGUGCACUACCCCAUAGGGCUCUGGUCAAUAGUAGUGCACUACCCCAUAGGGCUCUGGUCAAUAGUAGUGCACUACCCCAUAGGGCUCUGGUCAAUAGUAGUGCACUACCCCAUAGGGCUCUGGUCAAUAGUAGUGCACUACCCCAUAGGGCUCUGGUCAAUAGUAGUGCACUACCCAUAGGGCUCUGGUCAAUAGUAGUCCACUACCCAUAGGGCUCUGGUCAAUAGUAGUGCACUACCCAUAGGGCUCUGGUCAAUAGUAGUGCACUACCCCAUAGGGCUCUGGUCAAUAGUAGUGCACUACAGAAAUACCUUAUUUACAUAAGUAUUCAGACCCUUUGCUAUGAGAGUCAAAAUUGAGCUCAGGUGCUUCCUGUUUCCAUUGAUCAUCCUUGACAUGUUUUUACAACUUGGAGUCCACCUCUGGUAAAUUGAAUUGAUUGGACAUGAUUUGGAAAGGCACACACCUGUCUAUAUAAGGUCCCACAGUUGGCAGUGCAGGUCAGAGCGAAAACCAAGCCAUGAGAUCGAAGGAAUUGUCCGUAAGAGCUCAGAGACAGGAUUGUGUCGAGGCACCGAUCUGGGGAGGGUACCAAACCAUUUCUGCAGCAUUGAAGGUCCCCAAGAACACAGUGGCCUCCAUCAUUCUUAAAUGGAAGAAGUUUGGAACCACCAGGACUCUUCUUUGAGCUGGCCGCCCGGCCAAACUGACCAAUCAGGGGAGAAGGGCCUUGGUCAGGGAGGUGACCAAGAACCUGAUGGUCACUCUGACAGAGCUCCUCUUGGAGAUAGGAGAACCUUCCAGAAGGACAACCAUCUCUGCAGCACUCCACCAAUCAGGCCUUUAUGGUAGAGUGGCCAGACGGAAGCCUCUCCUCAGUAAAAGGCACAUGCCAGUCUGCUUGGAGUUUGCCAAAAGGCACCUAAAGACUCACAGACCAUGAGAAACACGAUUCUCUGGUCAGAUGAAACUAAGAUUGAACUCUUUGGCCUGAAUGCCAAGCGUCACGUCUGGAGGAAAUCUGGCACCAUCCCUACGAUGAAGCAAGGUGGUGGCAGCAUCACUACGAUGAAGCAAGGUGGUGGCAGCAUCACUACGAUGAAGCAAGGUGGUGGCAGCAUCACUACGAUGAAGCAAGGUGGUGGCAGCAUCACUACGAUGAAGCAAGGUGGUGGCAGCAUCACUACGGUGAAGCAAGGUGGUGGCAGCAUCAGGCUGUGGGGAUAAUGUUCAGCGGCAGGGACUGGGAGACUAGUCAGGAUCGAGGCAAAGAUGAAUGGAGCAAAGUACAGAGAGAUCCUUGAUGAAAACCUGCUCCAAAGCUUCUCGGACCUCAGACUGGGGUGAAGAUUCACCCUUCCAACAGGACAACGACCCUAAGCACACAGCCAAGACAACGCAGGAGUGGCUUCGGAAAAGUCUCUGAAUGUCCUUGAGUGGCCCAACCAGAGCCCGGUCUUGAACCCGAUCUAACAUCUCUGGAGAGAACUGAAAAUAGCUGUGCAGCAACCCUCCCCAUCUAACCUGACAGAGCUUGAGAGGCUCUGCAGAGAAGAAUGGGAGAAACUCCCCAAAUACAGGUGUGCCAAGCUUGUAGUGUCAUACCCAAGAAGACUUGAGGCUGUAAUAAAUGCCAAAGUACUGAGUAAAGGGUCUGAAUACUUAUGUAAAUUAAAAUAAAAAAUAAAACCUGUUUUUGUUAUGUCAUUAUGGGGUAUUGUGAUGUCAUUAUGGGGUAUUGUUAUGUCAUUGUGGGGUAUUGUGUGUAGAUUCAUGAGGGAAAUAAACAAUUUAACCCAUUUUUAGAACAAGGUUACAGAAUGUGGAAUAAGUCAAGGGGUCUGAACACUUCCAAAUGUACUGUACAGGGAAUAGGGUACGAUAUAGAAUAGGGUGCGAUAUAGGGAGUAGGGUCCUGUAUAGGGAGUAGGGUGCGAUAUAGGGAGUAGGGUACGAUAUAGGGAAUAGGGUACGAUAUAGGGAAUAGGGUACUGUAUAGAAUAGGGUGCGAUAUAGGGAAUAGGGUACGGUAUAGGGAAUAGGGUACCAUUUGGGAUGCAGUAUAAUGCCCAACUAAGCACAUAGUAGAUUAUGUGAAUGAUUAUGUUCCCAUCAUAUCUGAGGUCCCAUUGAGUUGAAUCUGUUCUGAUGGGAUAUACUGAGUUAUCGUUGAUACAUAGACACAGAUGAGACAUACUGAGUUAUAGUUGAUACGUAGACACAGUAGAUUACACAGACACAGACACAGAUGAGACAUACUGAGUUAUCGUUGAUACAUAGACACAGAUGAGACAUACUGAGUUAUAGUUGAUACAUAGACACAGAUGAGACAUACUGAGUUAUAGUUGAUACAUAG